AUGAUCAGCAUUGUCUAUUCCUGUAGCUGUGACAAGUAGCUGCUACUAGUAGCUCCGUGUGUCUUCACCCUUAAUGUCUUAUCAGUUUCAAUUGCAGGGAGGUAGGUAAUAGCUGUAGAAAGAGGCAGAAGAUUCCAGGCAUGGUUGUAUAUAAAUGCUCCAUUUUCCUUUAUCUAAUCCCCUUUAUACUGAUAAGAGGAUGCAAUGUAAACCCUCAAUAUAUCCCUUUCCCAUGUAAGGUCUACAAAGCAUUGGCACAGAAGCAGUUACUGGGUUGGGAUUCUGGGAAAAUUUAAUCAUGCAUUUUUCUUGGUAAGUCUAAAUGAAGGUUAUAUGACGUUAUAUUAGAUUUUCAUUUUCUCCUUUUUUCAUGUUUCUUUUUGCAAACUAGGACUCAGGGUGAGCAGCUGUUUGAUUCUGGGGAACUGGUACUGCAAAGAAGCCUUUGCCUAUUUUAUUUCUGGUAAAUGUGUAAUUCCUGGGGGAAAAAUUAGUGCAGUAAUUAGAAGCACUCUCUUGCCUAAGGCUUAAGGAAGGUGCAAAGGUUCAGCCCAUAGCAGAUCAUAUGAUGUAGAGCAAGACUUUGUGGUUCUAAGGUUCAGCCCAUAGCAGAUCAUACAGUGUAGCACAGAAUGCCUUGUAGAAGGAAGGUUCUACGGUUCAGCCCAUAGCAGAUCAUACAGUGUAGCACAGAAUGCCUUGUAGAAGGAAGGUUCUAAGGUUCAGCCCAUAGGAGAUCAUACAGUGUAGCACAGAAUGCCUUGUAGAAGGAAGGUUCUAAGGUUCAGCCCAUAGCAGAUCAUAUGGUGUAGCACAAGAUGCCUUGCAGAAGGAAGGUGCUAAGGUUCAGCCCAUAGCAGAUCAUACAGUGUAGCACAAGAUGCCUUGUAGAUGGAAGGUUCUAAGUUUCAGCCCAUAGCAGAUCAUACAACAUAGCACAAGAUGCCUUGUAGAUGGAAGGUUCUAAGGUUCAGCCCAUAGCAGAUCAUACAGUGUAGCACAGAAUGCCUUGUAGAAGGAAGGUUCUAAGGUUCAGCCCAUAGCAGAUCAUACAGUGUAGCACAGAAUGCCUUGUAGAAGGAAGCUUCUAAGGUUCAGCCCAUAGCAGAUCAUACAGUGUAGUACAGAAUGCCUUGUAGAUGGAAGGUGCUAAGGUUCAGCCCAUAGCAGAUCAUACGGUGUAGCACAAGAUGCCUUGUAGAAGGAAGGUUCUAAGGUUCAGCCCAUAGCAGAUCAUACAGUGUAGCACAGAAUGCCUUGUAGAAGGAAGGUUCUAAGGUUCAGCCCAUAGCAGAUCAUACAGUGUAGCACAGAAUGCCUUAUAGAAGGAAGCUUCUAAGGUUCAGCCCAUAGCAGAUCAUACAGUGUAGUACAGAAUGCCUUGUAGAUGGAAGGUGCUAAGGUUCAGCCCAUAGCAGAUCAUGCGGUGUAGCACAAGAUGCCUUGUAGAAGGAAGGUUCUAAGGUUCAGCCCAUAGAAGAUCAUACAGUGUAGCACAAGAUGCCUUGUAGAAGGAAGGUUCUAAGGUUCAGCCCAUAGAAGAUCAUACGGUGUAGCACAAGAUGCCUUGUAGAAGGAAGGUUCUAAGGUUCAGCCCAUAGAAGAUCAUACGGUGUAGCACAAUAUGCCUUGUAGAAGGAAGGUUCUAAGGUUCAGCCCAUAGAAGAUCAUACGGUGUAGCACAAUAUGCCUUGUAGAAGGAAGGUUCUAAGGUUCAGCCCAUAGCAGAUCAUACAUUGUAGCACAAGAUGCUUUGUAGAAGGAAAGUUCUAAGGUUCAGCCCAUAGCAGAUCAUACGGUGUAGCACAAGAUGCCUUGUAGAGGGAAGGUGCUAAAGUUAAGCCCAUAGCUGGUGGUCCAGUGUAGGGCAAGACAUUACUUGUAGACACAUAUACUUUAUAAAAAGAACAUUUUCUUGAAUCCCAGUAUAAUACACAAAGGCCAUGAAUGACUUACAAUAACAUAUAAUUUUAAACAUAACAGGGACCCUAAAUUACAAUAUGAUGAUAUUAGAAGUCACCUCAGAUUUCCGUUACCUGUAUAAAACCCUUAUAAUUACUAUACGUACUGUCACUUACCAUACAGGGGUCACAUGUGUAAUUGCUUAGCUCCAAUUGCCCUCCCCCUCAUUAAAGGAACUAGGGUUUAAAAUGUAUUACCUUAUUUAUUUACCUUUAUCCAGGCAAUACAUUAUCAGAGGACACAGUAUAGAAACACAACAUAAUUUCUCUGUGUAGUUGCAUUUAUUCAUAUGGUUGGAAGCAGCCAUUUUGCUUGCCUCAGCCAUGCAAUACCCAGUGAUAUUAAUAACACCCCUGGUGGUCAUAAAUGGGUAGUGCAUACUAUACUGAUUAAAACCGGAUGUUAUGGCCACUUGCCUUAGCUCUGGUGUUUGCCUACUGGAACUAUUCACACCAAUGGGGUGCUGAGGUGCCACACACAUGAGGAAGUCCCUGUUUGUGGCUUAGUUGUAUUAUCAUGACUUUUUAAUGGAGGGGGAUGAUUUUGUUUGUAUAUAAAUGAUCUGAAAUAUAGAUUGGGGACUCCCCCCUAUGCUGAGUACCAGUUGAGCAUGCCGCUGCCCUACCAUCAUCACCGCUAACCUUCCUCAUGUCUGCUCUCCUCUGAGGAUCUUCUCUCUCUAUCUGUUCAUCCAUUUCCAGCUGAGAUUCUCUCACUCCCGAUAUAUUCUGCAUUUCUCUCUGUAAUGCUACAAUAUAUUCUGCGUGUCCCUCUGCAAUGCUCUAUGAUGUUCUGCGUUUCUCUCUAUAUAUUCUGCACUGCUCUCUGUGCUGCUCUGAGCCAUUCUGCAUUCCUCUCCGGAAUCCCGUUUCCCACUCGGUUUCUCUCGAAGCCCCCCACCUGUUCCAUUCUGCAUUCCUCCGUGUACACCUGUUUUCUGACUAUAUUUCUCUUUGUGAACCUUUAUUUCUCCAUUAAAUCUUUCAUUUCUCUCUGUAAACCAA